rnacentral:rRNA from 1 species
CCUACGGGUGGCAGCAGUGGGGAAUAUUGGUCAAUGGGCGCAAGCCUGAACCAGCAACGCCGCGUGAGGGAUGAAGGCCUUCGGGUUGUAAACCUCUUUCAGCAGGGACGAAGCGCAAGUGACGGUACCUGCAGAAGAAGCACCGGCUAACUACGUGCCAGCAGCCGCGGUGAUACGUAGGGUGCAAGCGUUGUCCGGAUUUAUUGGGCGUAAAGAGCUCGUAGGCGGUCCACCACGUCGAAUGUGAAAACUCGGGGCUUAACCCCGAGCCUGCAUUCGAUACGGGUGGACUCGAGUGUGGUAGGGGAGACUGGAAUUCCUGGUGUAGCGGUGGAAUGCGCAGAUAUCAGGAGGAACACCGAUGGCGAAGGCAGGUCUCUGGGCCAUUACUGACGCUGAGGAGCGAAAGCGUGGGGAGCGAACAGGAUUAGAUACCCCUGUAGUC